GACUGCAAUGAGGGGGAGGGAAAGAGAGUGAGGAGAGUGCUCAUAGAGUACCUUGACCCUUCAAGACUGACUUAAAAGUUGAGUGUUUUUUCUUUUGUAUUAAGAUCUGAUAAUGAAUAGAUAAUCAGAUCAAUAGUCUCUCCAGAGACUCUUGCUCCCCAGAGACAGCCUGCAACCAGCCCAUGGGUGAUGCACACGCACACACACACUCUAUCUCUCUCACUCAAUCACUCACACAGACAGCCCCUGGAGUUUGCAGACACUAACCAAGUGGAGUUCACCGUUAGCACGGACAGCUGGGUGGUCAUCAGCACACUCAGGAUGGAGAAGGUCCAACUGCCUGACAUGGACUCCUAUCACUGUGCUGUGAUGUCUGAGGGUUGAGAGACUCUAUCCAAGGGAGAAAACAUCCAGCUGGAGGAAUGUCCUGCAAGGAGCACUACCUGGACUAAAGCUGCCUGUCCUCCUACUGUACAUCAAGACCAAGCCCCCCCAGCCCUGCAUCUCUGGCAGACAGCAUCAACCAUCACAGCCCCAGCACUUCCUCCCACUGACUCCUCGGGCUCCUACUCCACCAUGAACGGCAUCCUCUGCUUUAUUUUUAUACAUGUUUGUGAACUCUUGUCAUCUAUAAAUAACUUGUUCUGAAUUCUGAAGAAUAGAUUGUGGCUAUGUGAUACAGGAGAUACUGAGGGGAAAAGCUUUUCAAGUGAAAAUGGCUGCUGGCAAAGUAGAAACAUUUUGUCCACUAUCAAACAACCACCCAUGCCUGUACAGUAUUUGCAAUUGCAACAUUUUGCACUUUAAUAUUUGCACCAAAAAAGACAUUUUUCUCAC